UACGGGGGGGGCAAGCGUUGUUCGGAAUUACUGGGCGUAAAGGGCUCGUAGGCGGCCAACUAAGUCAGACGUGAAAUCCCUCGGCUUAACCGGGGAACUGCGUCUGAUACUGGAUGGCUUGAGUUCGGGAGAGGGAUGUGGAAUUCCAGGUGUAGCGGUGAAAUGCGUAGAUAUCGGAAGGAACACCAAUGGCGAAGGCAGCCGCCUGGGCCUGAUCUGACACUGAGACACGAAAGCGUGGGGAUCAAACAGG
rnacentral:rRNA from 1 species